rnacentral:rRNA from 1 species
CAGUUUACACGGAUAACUGUGGUAAUUCUAGAGCUAAUACGUGCAAUCAGCUCGCUUCCUUGUGGAGCGAGCGCAGUUAUUAGAACAAGACCAAUCCGGCCUUCGGGUCGGUACAAUUGGUGACUCUGAAUAACCGAAGCGGAGCGCAUGGUCUCGUACCGGCGCCAGAUCUUUCAAGUGUCUGACUUAUCAGCUUGUUGUUAGGUUAUGUUCCUAACAAGGCUCUUACGGGUAACGGGGUAUCAGGGUCCGAUACCGGAGAGGGAGCCUGAGAAACGGCUACCACAUCCAAGGAAGGCAGCAGGCGCGCAAAUUACCCACUCCCGGCACGGGGAGGUAGUGACGAAAAAUAACGAUGCGAGAGCUACAAAGUUUCUCGUAAUCGGAAUGGGUACACUUUAAAUCCUUUAACGAGGAUCUAUUGGAGGGCAAGUCUGGUGCCAGCAGCCGCGGUAAUUCCAGCUCCAAUAGCGUAUAUUAAAGUUGCUGCGGUUAAAAAGCUCGUAGUUGGAUCUGGGUAGCUGGACGGAUGGUGUGCUUUGCGGUAUUACUGUCUGUUCGGCACCACAAGCCGGUCAUGUCUUGCAUACGCUUCAUUGAGUGUGCUUGGCGGCCGGAACGUUUACUUUGAAAAAAUUAGAGUGCUCAAAGCAGGCGUACGGCCUUGCAUAAUGGUGCAUGGAAUAAUGGAAUAGGACCUCGGUUCUAUUUUGUUGGUUUUCGGAACUCGAGGUAAUGAUUAAUAGGAACAGACGGGGGCAUUCGUAUUGCGGCGUUAGAGGUGAAAUUCUUGGAUCGUCGCAAGACGAACUACUGCGAAAGCAUUGUCAAG